CAGCCGGCUCCACUCUCCGACAUUAAUUCACUCGUGCACUUUGAAUGUGCCUAAUGAAACAUGUUUGCUGUAACAUCUCUGUGGCUCUGCUGGACUUUACUGUCUGUCUCCCUCGUGGGCUUUACCUGGGCAGACCACAAAAACGUCACAGCUGAGUCUGGAAAGAACGUCACUCUGACAUGUCGAGCUCCAAAUAACAACAUAGUAGUACAAUGGAGCAGAGCUGACCUGCAGCCAGAAUAUGUUCUUUUGUACCGAGACAAGCAGUUUAUUCCAAAUCACCAGCAUCUAUCUUUUAAGAACCGGGUGGAUCUGCAGGACAAACAGAUGAAGGAUGGAGACGUGUCUUUGAUUUUGAAGGAUGUGAUGAUUAAUGACACUGGAACAUACGAGUGUCGUGUCUUCAUGAGAGAAACACGCUCAUGGAAGUCCAGCAUCAUCAUGUGUUGUUGAUCCUCCAGGUCAGCCAGGAGGAGACACAGAGGAUGGACAGGAGGAAGAUGGAGUUGGUAGAAGUCAUCAUGGUCGACUGAUGGCUUCUGUUUUAUUAGUUGCUGUGAUCAUUCUUGUUUUUGCAGUUGUGAUCUCUAAAAAACACAAGAAAGAUCCUCCUCUUCAUCCUCCUGAUGAAGAAGCAAAGAAGGAAAUGGUCUGAAGCAAAGCACCAUGGAACAAGAGAGAGAGAGAGAGAGAAUACAUUAAACUAGUUAAAAACGUUUAACUAUAAAAAUGACAUAUUUAUACGUAUAGAUAGAUAGUUGUAUGAGGGCAACAUCACAAGGAGAACAAACAGAAUAUAAACCAGUGUGUUUCACACUGAAUGUGUUCAGGUCUGAGCUGCUGUGUGGACUAUUUUAGUUUAAUAUCAGAAGCUGUUUGAGUUACAUUUCAUUACCCAGAUGGUAACAGCUCCACACCAUCUGAUAAGUUUUGGUUAUUUGAUUGCGGUUAAAUAUUUAUGUAAAGCAAACUGUCAGAGAAACUCUUUGAUCUGUGUUGGUUCCUCUUGAUGUCAGUGCUGACUUUGAUUCUGUGGAUCACUGCAGACAUUUAGAGACAUUGAUAGAGACUCUGAGAGUUUCUAACUGGAUUAAAUUGCACAGAUGGAGGAUUCUUUGUACGUGGUAAUGAAUCUUCAUCCAGGAGCUACAAACUGAGCUAUGGCGUUCCACAGGGUCAGAUCUGGGACCAGUGAUUUUAACAUUUACAGGCUGUAACUUUGUGAUGUCAUCAGGAGACACAGAAUGAGUACACACGAUUACACUGAUGAUGUUGCUGUGUCUCCUGAUGACACAGAGCCAGUCAGAUCUAUCUGCAUCUUACAUAUUAAAUCCUGGAUGGCUGCAAACUUCCUCCAACUCACUUAGGAUGUGGAGACACUGACUCCUCCUUUCAUCUCCUGCAGGGUUGCUUACUGCAGUGCUCAUCUUUUUAGUUUUUCAAAGAAACACUUGUCACUGCAGCUGCUUUAAAAAUCAACUCCACAGCCUUAAUUACACCAAUGUUAUCGUCUCUGCAGUCAGAGUCAUCUUUAAGAUCCUUUUACUGGUUUUUAACACUCAGGAGUUCAGGACCUUCUCAUCUUUCAGAUUUACUUUUAUGCUACGAGCACUUCAGAGACAGAGGAGACAGUUGACCAUCUUUUAUUUAUCAUGCUGCACUUUAUUUCACUUUACUUUUGAUGUAUUUACUAUUUUCUUUGUUUAUUCCCUUUUCAUUAUAUUUCAUGUAUUCCUAGUAGCCUUGUAAUGUUAUUUAUUGUUUCUUUUUAAUCUCCAGUGUUUCUGUAUGAUGAGUGUCUGAUCUCUGGGUGUGGGAGUGGGGAUGGAGGGGUGAUGAGAGG